CAAAAACCAUUCACAGUGGUAAGGAUUGUCGUGCAGAUGCAGCUGCGCUGUAGGAUGGAGGCAGUGGUGGUGGCUGAAUCUGGUGCUGCUGUGGCAUUUCUCUAAAGGUGUGAAGCCAGGAGUCCAGAUCACAGUCUAAGGGAAUAAAGAGAAGAAUUCUGAGUAAUAUGAUCUGUUCUUUUAUCUUCACAUGCUACAGAACUAUAAUUUUAGUUCAUUCCUAAAUGACAUUGAAAUGUAUUUCUCUGCGUUCUGCUGCUUCAUGCCUGUUAUUUAAUAAAAAUAAAAAUUUCUAUGUUCCUUUGACUUGUCUUUUUGUUUGUUUUUCCACUUUUUAUAAUCUCUUAAUUUGUUUCCAAGUUUCCAAACUCUCUUUUACGUUGUUCAGGGCUGUUAUGCUAAAUUUUCUUUUUGGGAACACCAUGAUUCUAAAUCCAGGGUAUGAUUUCUACAAUUAUUUUCCCAUAAUUCUUUUUCGUUUCAUUGCUAAUUGGAC